GGAUCUGGGUUGUUUUUGUGUAUUUUGUGCUUGCAACAUGUGUUCAGAGUUUCAGAUGGUGCUGGAGUUCUCAGGUGUGCUGGGUGACAGGUGCGACUUAUUCCACUGAUUACUUGGAGGAGUACUUAAGCAGGAGGCUGCCAGCACUUCGAUGCCAGAGUGUUUUGUCUUCAGUGGUAACAAGCUCAGCCAACACUAAGUUUAUGCUUUGUUCUUCGUUUCCAAGUAAUUUUGUUUAUGCUCCUUCGUAGGCUGAAAACCUGAACUUUGGAUUUACUUCGCUAAUCACUGACUUUGUGUCCGGACGUUUCUGGACGGACAAGAUUACCUAUGGUCUGAGGACUUUGUCUCCUAACAACUGUUUCCAUCCCUCCACCCUCCAAUGCAAAUAUCUGCACAUUGAACUCUCUCCUGAAAUCACCAAGCUCAAAUGGCACCAAAUAAAUCAUCUGAACAAUUUCUGUUUCGACAACCUGGACUCCAAAUCCCUCUACCCCUGGCGACCUGACCGCAUCCACUUAGUUCUGCUCGGUGGUGAUCUCCAUUGUGAGGCUGUGAAUGGGAGAGUUUGGGAGUGUCUCUCCUCCGAUUAAUUAGGAGUGGCCAGCGUUUCCGCUCCCCUGUGGAGGCUUCAGGGGCCGGAGGCACAGUUUUGACCCAGUAAUAUAUCCAGAAACUUUGAGGAAAAGGGUCCCAGCCGGCUGUGGGAGUGGAGCCAGUGAGAGGUAAAUGAAAAAUCAAUGCCGCUGUGACACAUUAACUUAUCCUUCAAUUUCAUAACUGGCAUUAGAUGUCAGGAGAAAUCUGUGUUUUGA